UUGGAGGGCAAGUCUGGUGCCCGCAGCCGCGGUAAUUCCAGCUCCAAUAGCGUAUAUUAGAGUUGUUGCAGUUAAAAAGCUCGUAGUUGAAUUUCGGGAUUGACACAUCGGUCGUGCCUUAAGGGGUAUGAACUGGUGUAGUCAGUUUCUCACCUUCUGGAGAACCGCGAUGUCCUUAAUUGGGUGCCGCGAGGAACCAGGACCUUUACUUUGAAAAAAUUAGAGUGUUUAAAGCAGGCAUUUUGCUUGAAUACAUUAGCAUGGAAUAAUAAAAUAGGACGGAUGGUUCUAUUUUGUUGGUUUCUAGGAUCACCGUAAUGAUUAAUAGGGAUAGUUGGGGGCAUUAGUAUUCAAUUGUCAGAGGUGAAAUUCUUGGAUUUAUUGAAGACUAACUACUGCGAAAGCAUUUGCCAAGGAUGUUUUCAUUAAUCAAGAACGAAAGUUAGGGGAUCGAAGACGAUCAGAUACCGUCGUAGUCUUAACCAUAAACUAUGCCGACUAGGAAUCAGACGAUGUUAAUUUUUUAAUGACUCGUUUGGCACCUUACGGGAAACCAAAGUGUUUGGGUUC
rnacentral:rRNA from 1 species